CACACACACACACGCACGCACCCACGCACGCACAGCCCAUCCUUCCUCCAGGCUCGCGAAUCACCUCUCCACAAAUCCUGCCUUCGGGGCCGCAGCCUGCAGGCCGACCUCAGUCCGUCCUCACAGAGCCUAGUUGGGUGCACAGCCCUCCCUGACGCGCGAGGAGCAGGUUCACGGGAGUCGGUCGCGCAUCCCCAGCGCCCUGCGGGCCUCGCACCGGCUGUGGCGGUGACCCCGAAUUCUUCCAUCUCUAUGAGAACAAGCCCAUUUUAACUUUCUGGAGGAUAAAAUAGCAUGCUGAGGAAAGCCAAAGUGCGCCAGUUUACAGACAGCUCACUCCCAGAAGCAGAGCCACCUAAUUCACCAGCAUCUGACCACUCACACCUGAAGGAGCCAAACUGAGCCCAGAAGAAUGGCCCAGCUAAGCCCAGCCUAAAUUUCUAACCAGCUCAACCCUGAGCUAGUAUGUUUCAGGAUUGUUAUGCAGUUAUAGCUUAGUAAUAUAUACACCCAUUAAAGACAGGAUUCCAGGAUUCCAGGACAGAUUGAUUACAAAUAACCUGCAAAUGCUUGGCACCCUGUAAGUAUUGAUUUUGUGUUUCCCUUAUUUAAAGUUAAAUUUGUUGUAAGAUGGUAUUGACUUAUAUAGAAGUGAGGCAAGAGAAUAGGGUCUGGAGGCAGGGAACUUAAGGCCAAUUGGUGCUGAAUUCCUAAAGAAGAAACACCAAGGUCUGGGAGCAGGGAACCUAAGGCCAAUUAACGUGAACUUCCUACAUCUAAACCAAAAGGAAAAACCUCAUCUACACCUGAGUAGCAAAGGAUCAAAGGUGACUGUUGCUACAACUCUCUCCUUUGCACCAGUUCUCUGAUAGAAAAGGAGAGUGACUUGGAGUGGCUGUGGGCCAAGCACAGGCCAUGCCUUCAUCUGCAUGGGGUACCAAUUCACCUCAGCCUUUGAUUAGCCACGGACCAAAUCUUUCAUCCAGAUAAGGGGUAGCUGAUAGGGACCUCAAAAGGAGUACUUAAAACCCAGAUAACUUUGUAACCGGGUCCUUGAGCUGCUUGCUGGGGCCCACACCCAUCCUGUGGAGUGCUUUCUU
rnacentral:lncRNA from 1 species